GCCUAGCACAUAGUAAGCUCUAUAUAAAUGUUAGCUAUUAUAUAGAUUAAAGUCAAAGUCAACAAGCAUUUAUUGUGUGCUUCCUAUGUGGGAGUCACUGG
rnacentral:miRNA from 1 species